GUGGGGAAUAUUGGACAAUGGGCGAAAGCCUGAUCCAGCCAUGCCGCGUGUGUGAAGAAGGUCUUCGGAUUGUAAAGCACUUUAAGUUGGGAGGAAGGGCAGUAAAUUAAUACUUUGCUGUUUUGACGUUACCGACAGAAUAAGCACCGGCUAACUUCGUGCCAGCAGCCGCGGUAAUACGAAGGGUGCAAGCGUUAAUCGGAAUUACUGGGCGUAAAGCGCGCGUAGGUGGUUCGGUAAGAUGGAAGUGAAAGCCCCGGGCUCAACCUGGGAACUGCUUUCAUAACUGCCGAGCUAGAGUACGGUAGAGGGUAGUGGAAUUUCCUGUGUAGCGGUGAAAUGCGUAGAUAUAGGAAGGAACACCAGUGGCGAAGGCGACUACCUGGACUGAUACUGACACUGAGGUGCGAAAGCGUGGGGAGCAAACAGGAUUAGAUACCCGUGUAGUCC
rnacentral:rRNA from 1 species